AACAGUAGAUGCUUUGGCCUGGGUUAACCUUGAGGUUGAUUGGAUUGUGGACUCUAGUUAAGAACAUCAUUUGAUUGGCAAUCCCUCUCAAUUCUUGUCUAUUCAUGACUACAAAUAGAAUGAAGCUAUAAUCACUACUGAUAAUACAGUUCUUCCAAUAGAAAAAGGAAGGCAUUGUCACCCUUCAUAGUGUGAAUAAAGAACCUAUCACUCUAAACAGUGUCUACCAUGUA
rnacentral:misc_RNA from 1 species